rnacentral:lncRNA from 1 species
GGCAAACUGGUUUGGUCCGCUUCCACGCUGUUGGAGGUUUGUUCUUUUGCUGUUUGCAAUAAAUCUUGCUGUUGUUUGCUCUUUGGAGCCACACUACCUUUAUGAGCUGUAACACUCACCGCGAAGGUCUGCAGCUUCACUCCUGAGCCAAAGAGACCACGACCUCACCAGAAGGAAGAAACUCCGAACACAUCCAAACAUCAGAAGGAACAAACUCCAGACGUGCCGCCUUUAAGAACUGUAACACUCACUGCGAGGGUCCGCAGCUUCAUUCUUGAAGUCAGUGAGACCAAGAACCCACCAAUUCUGGAGACAAGAGGAUUGCUUAAGCCCAGAAGUUUGAGUACAGCUUGGGAAACAUAGUGAGACCCUGUCUCAAAAAGAAUAGAUAUGUUCCAAAACAAAA